GUCUACGACCAUACCACCCGGAAGACACCGGUUCUCGUCUGAUCACCGAAGUUAAGCCUGGUCGGGCGAAGUUAGUACUUGGAUGGGUGACCGCCUGGGAAUACUUCGUGUUGUAGACU
rnacentral:rRNA from 1 species